rnacentral:misc_RNA from 1 species
UCCCGCUUAUCACGGGCAGUUCCCCCAGAGUGCCCAACCAGAUGAUGGCAACUGGGGGUGUGGGUUGCGCUCGUUGCCGGACUUAACCGAACAUCUCACGACACGAGCUGACGACAGCCAUGCAGCACCUGUGUCCCUGUCCCUUGCGGGAAAAACCUGUCUCCAGGCCGGUCAGGGCAUGUCAAGGGUUGGUAAGGUGGGGAUGGACGUUUACGUGCACUU